rnacentral:ribozyme from 1 species
GCUGUUCAAAUCUUCACCCACCUCUUCGUGGUGAGCAGCAGGCAACGGUCUUAUGACUGGCUGAGAUGCGAA